CAUGCCGCUCCGUGUGCAGAGGCCACCUCUGCAGCCAGUGCCUGGCUGCUCCCUCGCCAACGCCACCUCUGGGCCACGUGACCCACUUUAGCGCGGGGUUGAAAGGAGGCUCCGAGCCAGGGGUUUACAUUUUCAGGCUGGUGGUCCCAAUGAGAAAGCACAAGUACAAUGAGUCUGUUGCAGGUGGACUGGCAAUGAGCGUGAGGGUCCCAGAGCAGCUGAGGCCUCUGAGGGGAAAUGCAGGCACCAGGAGAGCUGAUCCCGGUUUCUGCACCAAAUGAAAUUCUGCACACUCUGUGUCCGAGGCUGAAUGCCAGAAGCCUACCUGAGGACCUGUGAUUGCCUGGCAAUCGCCAGAUCUGCUUUUCCCAGCUGCUGGACCUGCCGCCACGGCUCCCACUGCCGUGUCUCCAGCGCACAUGCGAUUGCUCCAGAAACCAGCUUAAAUCCAUCUGGACAGGUCGGAUCUACUUCAGGCUUUUCCUGUCUCACCAGCAUCCUGUCAGACACAAAAGUGACCAGGGUGCCCAGCCAGGAGGGAUAAACAGCUCCAGAGUAAAGGAUGACAAUGGACAGCCCACCAUCCCACAACACCUGUCUACCUCUGAAGACCCCCUUCCUAUUCCCCCUAAGAGCCAACCAAUGCCCACCAAGUCAGCUGGAAGCAGUUUUUCUGGGAGAAACGACGCCCCUAUUCCUAUUUACUUGGUUUUUAUAAUAAGCAAAAGUUUGGAAUGUUAGGAUUCCGUACAUGUGCAGCUUGUGGUCUUGUCUGGGGCCUUACGCCAUCAGCAGGUGACUGCGUCCCAGCCUUAAAGCCGGACAUGCACCGCCCGCCCCCCACUCUCUCUGUGCUUCUCUUCCUGUGUUUCCUCUCUCUGUCCCUGCUCUGUUCCCUCUGCCAGGCCUGGCUCCUCCCCCUGCCUUUCCCUCCAUUAAAGCUCU